rnacentral:rRNA from 1 species
AUUGAACGCUGGCGGCAGGCCUAACACAUGCAAGUCGAGCGGAUGAAGGGAGCUUGCUCCUGGAUUCAGCGGCGGACGGGUGAGUAAUGCCUAGGAAUCUGCCUGGUAGUGGGGGAUAACGUCCGGAAACGGGCGCUAAUACCGCAUACGUCCUGAUGGAGAAAGUGGGGGAUCUUCGGACCUCACGCUAUCAGAUGAGCCUAGGUCGGAUUAGCUAGUUGGUGGGGUAAAGGCCUACCAAGGCGACGAUCCGUAACUGGUCUGAGAGGAUGAUCAGUCACACUGGAACUGAGACACGGUCCAGACUCCUACGGGAGGCAGCAGUGGGGAAUAUUGGACAAUGGGCGAAAGCCUGAUCCAGCCAUGCCGCGUGUGUGAAGAAGGUCUUCGGAUUGUAAAGCACUUUAAGUUGGGAGGAAGGGCAGUAAGUUAAUACCUUGCUGUUUCGACGUUACCAACAGAAUAAGCACCGGCUAACUUCGUG